AGAGAAGUUAGCUCAGGGCCAAUCUUCACCAAGCAAAAGGAGGAAGAUGGGCAACAGAUGUCAGCUCAAGGCCAAUCUUCCUCAUCAAAAAAAAUCCUUUUUUGAUGAUAGAUUACUAUAGGGAUAUUUGCUGUGUCACAGAAGUAGUCCUGACAACUUAGUGAAUCAACGACUUAAAAAAAGCUGCUUCCAUCCUGUCAAAGAAAAGAAUCCCUAACCAAUCUAUAAAUCAAAAUUGGGAUGAGUUUGUUAUGAGCUGGAUCUGAGGACCAUGUAGCCCCGGAGAGCCCUUCCACAAAGGAACGGAGCACUCCAAAGAAGUGGGGUGGACAGAGUGGUUAUCUACCAUCAAAGAGCAGGUGUCACAUCUGAUUGGAGCGUCCCUGUUACAACAGUCACAAGAUUGCCUUGCCGGCACAGCUAUGCACACAGCAACUGAUGAACCCAGCGGGCCGCAGGUCUGUGGUCACAGGGAGCAUUAAAGGGAAGCUUUGACAAGUGGGACAUAGAGGAGCCUCUGAAGGCGGGUCCAGGACCAUCGCACAGGAGAAUGAAGGACCUGGGUCUUCGGGAGGAGGGAGACGGGCAGGAUGGAACAGGUACCCCCAGCAGCCUGGCACCGUUCUCCAGCCGGGUGGUCCACCUGCCAACCUCCCGUGGGCUGAGGUGGAAUUAGCGCUGUUUUGCAGGGCUCUGGUCUCAGCGAUGGGAGGGUUUGUUUCCGAUUUUCACCAGCGUUCUCAUCCAACCCCUACAUGCUGUGUCCUCCUGCGCACAGCUCUGCCCCAGCCCCCAACACGGCAAGGACAGCGGGCUCCAGGCUGAUUGCCCGGUGCAACUCCACGGAGCAGAAAGCCAUGGCCGAAAGAGUCUCAUGGUUUCACCUGUGUCGCUCAGCCAUGAUGGGCUCAGAACAACCAUCCACCAGAGGAGGGCUGGCAGCUGCCCCUGCCACCACUGAGAGCUGCCUCUGGCCACCAGCACCAAAGGGAGAGAUGAGAAGUCCUUUCUUUGUCUGCUGUGAGUGGCCCUGCUGUCAGCAUUCGGCCCACCGCCUCUUUCUCUUCCCUCGGCCUCAGAGAUGCAGUGUUUCACAGAGGACCCCGGUCCUCCCUGUGUGAUCAACCCCCAGCAGACGCCUGGGAGGCGGAGUCCCAGCACCUGGCAAGGAUGAGAGCGUGUGGGGACCGCCAGCACACAGGGCAGGGCCUGGGCCACCUGAAGCAGCCUGGGCAACUCUGCAGGAGCCUCUCCUGGGCUGGCCGUUUUCCCGGGACAUUCUCCUCAGUUCUGGGGCUGGUCCUCAGCAUCUGAGACGCAAAACCCCAGAAGGAUGCACUUUGAGAGUGUGCCUACAUGGACUAAGAUAAAAGACUGAUGAUGUGCUCGUUCCUUUACUCCCAGGUCAACAAAGUUUAGGGUGAACCAUAUGAAUGAUUUUGUGGACAAAAGACCUAUUUUUCAGAUAUUGGAAUCUCCCAUCUAAUACUAUUCUUGAGCCCCUCCCAUGUCCCCUGCCUGUUUCAGGUGCUGGACUCAGAAGGUGAAAGUGACAGCCCAGGUCCCUGACACUGGGCAUGUCAUUCAGUGCACGACCUAUAGCCUGGGUGGUGCACACAGUGACCUGGUGUUGAGUCUGAUAUUCACGGUGGAACGGCUGCCCCUUUUCCAGUCCUCAGGCCUUGGGACAACACCACCAGAACGGCCCAUUCAAGGCAUGUAUGUGCACGGUCACACGUGUGUAUGAAGGAGAGAAUGAGCGAGCACCGGUGUGCUGGGGGGCGUGGUGGUGGUCCUGCCUUUCGGGUUCGCCACCCUGUCACACUGAUGCUCUGACUGCCACUUUUCUCGUCUUCGGUGCUUGCUCCUAACGUGGCUUUCUGCAUCGAGAUGUGGUGUCACUGACACAUGUUGAAUCAGGACCGAAGAGCAUCAGAAGAAAACAAACCAGACAACAAAUGCAUAUCCUGCUGAUAAGUCAAUUAUUCAUUUUUUUGGAGAAACAAGAAUCUAAUAACAUACAUUACAAGAAAAGCAAGCAAGGGACUGGCCCAGUGGCAUAGUGGUUAAGUUCACACACUCCACUUCAGUGGCCCAGGGGUCACAGGUUCAGAUCCCAGAUGUGGACCUAGCACCACUCAUCAAGCCACGCUGUGGCAGCAUCCCACAUAAAACAGACGAUGGUCGGCACAGAUGUUAGCUCAGCGACAAUCUUCCUCUCCAAAAAAAAAAAAAAGGCUAGCAAGCCUGUGAAUAAUGUAAAACAGGAGGCAAUAAAUGAGACGAUUGGAUCAGAGAGAUUUUCUGACUGUUCUGUUUAAAUUUAUAAUUAAUACUUUGAUUCUUUUUAAAUAGUUCAAGGGCCAUCCAUCACCUGCACGAGCGACUACAGUGGAAAGAAACCGUCCUGGAGGAGGCUGUGAAACAUGUGAGUCAGUCAGUCUGGAAUUUAAAUAUUGCAAACCAACCACAAUGUGGUUAAUCCUUAGCCCGGCCGCCUUUCAAGGGAGCAAAAUAGAAUUUAGUGAAGCGGAAAAGACAGUUUACGAAAUUGAUAACUGUCACCUUGAGGAAUUUCCUAAGCACGGCCCCCAAGUCCAGCCCAAAUCCGGCCCUCGGAGCUCUUUACAGGUUGCUCGCUAAUUCUCCAGAGUCCGCAAUGUUGGAAGGAGGAGAGCUGUCACGGCAGGUCAGCAUGGGACGCUGAUGGACGGAAGGGCCUCGGAGGCCCCGGGUGCAUCAGGAAUUGCAUCAGGAAGGGAGGAGGCCAGAGGACCCAGGGACAGGAGCAGGCGGCACGCCUACGGAGAAGAGUUAACUGGGCGGAGCGGGGAAGGAGCAACUCUGGACGGGGCCAGUCCAGGCCUGGCCACUGGAGAUGGGCCUUGAAUCCCUGAAUCUCCGACCCCAACCAUGCGUCCCUGCAUCCAGCCCAACCCCGAUCAGAGAGGGCAAGGCGCAAAAAAUGUCCCCUGAGUGACGGAGCUUGAUUAGUUAGUUACAGAUUUGGAAGCACCUCAUACGGCACAAAAUUAGAAUAUUUCUGAAUAACGUUUUUGAAACCGUGAGGGUCCCAGGCACUGAAGAGUCCUUUGGGCCGUCAAGAGCAACAGCACGGUGAAAAACGUGACUGCUGGAAACUUUUCCUCAAAAGUCCAAUCGCUGGGAAGACUCCGGGCGUGACACAAAUUUAUGUGUCCAUCUCUGGCCAGGGGCGCCCAGAGAUUCAGCUAAACAAGAUCCUGGGUAUGUCCAUGAGGGUGUUUCUGGGUGAGAUUAGCAUUUGGCCUUGCAGACGGAGUAAAGCCCUCCCCAGUGUCGGUGGGCAUCUUCAGACCCACUGAGGCCUGAAUGGAACCGAAGGGCUGAGGAGGGAGAAUUCGCUCUGUGCCCGACUGUCUUCGAGCUGGGACGUCGGCCUUCUCCUCCCUUUGGACUCGGACUGGGACUUGGGCCAGCUGCACUCCUGGGUCUCCAGCCUGCAAAGAGCAGACCGCAGGACUUCUCAGCCUCCAGGACCAAGUGAGCCAGUUCCUUAAAUUAAACCGUAUUUGUAUGCUGCACUUCUCUGGGAAACCCAGACUAGCACACUCAUGUUCAUCACGCAAGGCAGGAAUCAAAUCACACUUGUAAGAUGACACUGGUUUUGACAAUUUCAUAGACAUAAAUACCUACAUACACGUGCAUUGAACAGUUUGGGAAGAAAUUCAGCAAAAAAUUCUGGUGGUUGAAAUUGAGUUGUGAGACUAUAAAGAAUUUUUUGCUUUUUAUACUUUUCUCUGUUUUUCCUGUAUACUACAACAUGUGUAAUUUACUUUCACCAG
ensembl:lncRNA